UGGUGGUGGCUUAUUAGUUCCGUAUUCCUUAUCAGGAUCUCCUGUCAUAAAACAACUCUUGUAAAUGGUUACCAUGGUGCCUGGCCAGGGUGGGCGGUUUCAAUCAGUGUGCUUCCCCUAACAAUUUCAUGAGUGGUAAAUGAAAUGUUCCUCGAAGAGAGAGAUGAUAGAGGAAGACACAGGAAAAGCACAACCGAAUCGCCAAACGUCACCCGCAUUACAAAACAGGAGGAAUUUUCAGAAGCAAUGAGAGAGACUAGCCCAACCCAGCUCUCCCUCAGAUCCUGCGAGUCUUCAAGAACAGACUAGGCGUGCCAGUGAUCUAGGCUGGGGGCCAGCAACAAUGCAGCUAUGACGAAGCACAUCAGAUGGUCGAUGCGCCCAGCCAGAGACCUGAGGACCCUCCUGGGGUUGCCCCUCUCUGGAAGUUUGAAGCUAUCAGGACAGGUCUGCCUUCUUGAAAUGUACAAAUGUCACCAGCCGGGAGUGGCAGAUGCCCAGAGGCGUCUGGAAACAGAUUUCCAUCUGGUAAUGGGUUAGGCUUCCUGGGACACAGAUUAGAAUAGUUUGAAAUAAAGCCACGGAAGUACCGGCUUGGCUUUUCACAUA